GCAUCAUGUCACAAUUGCAUGUUUGAAUUCAAAUUUGAAUCUCAAAAGGCUUUAAAAGAUUUGGUUUACACCCUUUUGAGCUUUGGAUUUUCAAACCAAUAGGGCUUAUGCAUAAGAGGGGUUUAGUGCAUAUAUAAGCUAUCCCAUAAUUUUUGGAUAAUUAUUUGGAGUUGAAAACGUAUUAUAUUUAAAUAGAUGUAUGGCCCUAAAGGCAUUUAUAGGGCAAAUGUAUUUUUCUAUAUUUUAUUUUGAGGGGAAACUACUCCCAAAAGUUGUAUCAUGGUAGAACAUGAUUUUACAAAUUUUCUGGAAUUUAUUUGGACCAAUUUGGAGUUCAAAAUCAAAAGAUAUCAAAGAAAUAAGAAAAACAGAAAAGAAAAAGGUUAAAAGAAAAAAAAAAGGGGGAAAUGGACUGGCCCGGCCGUUUUGGGCCGAACCGGCCCAGUCCCGCGCGCGCGCUCGAGCCCG
rnacentral:lncRNA from 1 species